UACAGAGGAGCCAAGCGUUGUCCGGAUUGACUGGGCGUAAAGCGCGCGCAGGCGGUUUUCUAAGUUAGGGGUGAAAGCCCACGGCUCAACCGUGGAGGGCCACCUAAAACUGGGAGACUUGAGUGCAGGAGAGGAGAGCGGAAUUCCACGUGUAGCGGUGAAAUGCGUAGAGAUGUGGAGGAACACCCGUGGCGAAGGCGGCUCUCUGGCCUGCAACUGACGCUGAGGCGCGAAAGCGUGGGGAGCAAACAGG
rnacentral:rRNA from 1 species